rnacentral:rRNA from 1 species
AGCGCAGGUGGGAAAGUAAGUCAGUCUUAAAAGUGCGGAGCUCAACCCCGUGAGGGGAUUGAAACUACUUUUCUUGAGUGCAGGAGAGGAAAGCGGAAUUCCUAGUGUAGCGGUGAAAUGCGUAGAGAUCGGGAGGAACACCAGUGGCGAAGGCGGCUUACUGGACUGUAACUGACACUGAGGCACGAAAGCGUGGGUAGCGAACA